rnacentral:rRNA from 1 species
UACGUAGGGGGCAAGCGUUGUCCGGAAUUAUUGGGCGUAAAGAGCGUGUAGGCGCCAGAUAAGUCCGCUGUGAAAUCUCGAGGCUCAACUUCGAGCUGUCGGUGGAAACUAUCUGGCUAGAGUCCGGAAGAGGAGAAUGGAAUUCCUGGUGUAGCGGUGAAAUGCGUAGAUAUCUGGAGGAAUACCGGUGGCGAAGGCGGCAUCCUGGACCGGCAUUGACGCUGAGGAGCGAAAGCUAGGGGAGCAAACGGG